GACAGGUUAGUUUUACCCUACUGUCGUCGUAGGUCGUGAUUAGAGUAGUGUUUUAAAGUACGAGAGGAACGAAAACGCAGCGUUUCUGGCAAUGCCGUUGGUUGAUCAGCCAGUGCGGCGACGCUACGCGCUUGGGAUAAUAGCUGAACGCCUCUAAGCUAGAAUCCAUGCUCGAAGUUAUCACGAUGGAGGCUUGCUCUGCAAGCUGUGGGAUUGGCACUUUGUCGUCAGCUCAAAGCUGCGUAACGAUACUUUGGAAGGAUUGUGUAGUCGAGUAAGCUUUGCUUAGCCGGCCUAUACUCAUCUCCAUAGCAAAACCACAUGUCGGUCAGCUGUGCUGAGUCAGAAAUGAUUCUCUCACAAUGCAUCCGUCAAUCAUAAUGUGAACUCAAAUUGCCUUUCUUGGCCACUUUCUAGACGAGUUAGUGCAGAGGGGCUCAUGUAAGGUCUGGAGUGUCCUUGUUGAUGCGACGAUCUGAGUGUCAUGCCUCAUCU
rnacentral:rRNA from 1 species